rnacentral:tRNA from 1 species
GCCCCUCUAGCCCAACGGUAGAGGCAGAGGACUUAAAAUCCUUGUGUUCCGGGUUCGAAUCCCGGGAGGGGUACCA